GGAAAAGUGGGAAUAUUUUUACUUUAUUUUUACUAGAUAUAUUUGAAUAUAAUAAUUUGAUUGGUGAUCAAUUCUCAAAAGCUUUUUAUUAAUACUUGCUCACAUUCUAGAUAAAAAUUCAGAAGUCAACAUCUGAAAUAAACACAAACUUUAAUAAAAUCCUGAAAAUAAAAAUGUGUUGAUAAAUAUUUUUAGGACAGCUCCGAUGAAAGGUUUGCACCACUUCAAAUGUUGACUACUGCAUGCUUAUCCAGGAUUUCUGCAGAUAUUAUAAUGUAAAAUUUAAGACUUUAAGACUAUUAAGUAUUAAGUUUAAGACCUAUAGCACAAUUUCAAAAACACGCGAGAGAAAAGGUAAAAAAAUAAAUACAUUUUUUUAAAAUAAAAAUUCACAAAAUUUGUGGUAAAAUAAAUGUCUUUAAAUUGAAGACCGGAGUACUAAAUUGUUCACCGUAGUACUACAGACAGGUUAUAUGCACCAUUGAACUACAGAAAAAACAAACACCUUAAUGCUGAUUUAUACUUUCUCCUGGCACCGCGUCACACGCCUCACAAACGGACUUGGCAUUUAUAUACGACACGUUCGCUAGUCUAAAAUGAUAGGGGUGGUCAAAAGAAACAGACAGUAAAAAUCAGACGAAUUUUUUGGGCCUUUAAUUUUGUUUUAAUAAACUUACCCCCCAGGUUUUUACAAACUCUUACAAAAACUUUACUCCUUUCCCACUGCUGUAGCAAUUUCUUGUCAAGAAUUGUUGGUCAUCUGGUUCUCUCUAUGAUCACGCAUGGACGGAUCAUAAAGAUGUCGGCACAGACGUACCGGUUUCACACAAAAUCUCUUCAAAGCGUUUCAUAUUCAACUCAAAUGUGACGCCAUGCCAUUUGUUCACCGGAGUCUCAAAAAAAAUUCUAUUAGCUUCGCUAUGGUGUUACUUCCAGUCAAGAGCGCAUUUAUGUAAUACAAGCAGGCAAAUCUAUUUGCUCGUGCACCGAUUUCCUCUGUUUGUGGACAAAACUGCAAAUUUUCUCACUCUCAAAUAUGCACUGCUCCUGCACCAUUUUUUUUUCCUGCUCUCAGUACAUAUUUCCCUCUUCCUUUCGUGCUUUUUGAUAUGAUUUAUAUUGGUACACUAUUAAUUAACAAGAACCAAAAUACUUAAAUAGACUUACAUAUUACAUUUUUAAUCUAAUAAACCAUAACAUUGACUGUUCUAUGAUGAGAUUUCCGGUUUUAAUUUAAUCACUCUUAAAAUAAAUCUCAACCAAAUCUAAUUUUUAUCAUGGCAACUAAAAUAAUGUAAACUAGUCUCUGCUGUACAGUUUUGUAAAGUACUUCAAUUAAUAAUACUAUAUUUGCUAUAGUAACAAAGGUGUAACAAACAAACAAUCCAGUGCUGUAGUUUUUUUUAACAAUAUAGGGUAUAUUAUUCUACAAUACACCAAACUUUACUGUAGUAAAACUACACUGUAUUUCACUUUAUCGGUUUACUAUUCUUAAUACUACAGUAUGCUCAAGCAUCUCUAGAGAGCAAAAGCACGAAAAGAGGAGGAUACACAAGCCAUAAAAAGUGCGAGUCCGCAUUGUGCGACGGAUCUAGAGCAGACCAUUUACACACGAGUUGCCAGUGUUGAGUGCACGUGAAAAAGUUACACGAAUGCGCUCACGACGUGUAAUACUGCGCUGACAACAUUAGUCAGUGAAAUAUUGCCAUACUCUGCCAGCCGAAAUCAUGUGGCGUGCAACCACAGCGUACCUCCGCAAACACAUCGAUGAUGUCACAUUCGCUGUGCGCACUGAGAUUGGCUAUUGCAAGUUGACAUUUUUGUAAUUGUAAUACCGCAAAUAACAAUUGGACUAGUUAAAUAAAAAAAAAUGGCAAAACGCCAAAAACCUAGCAGCAAAAAAAAAAAAAAAAAAAAGAAUUUAAAUGAGCAUUAGAUUUAGCGUUACAUGGACGUCGCAAAAAUAAGACGUGGAAAAAUAUUUAAGACCUAGAACACCGAAUUUCAGCCUUUAAGGCUUUAAAUUUCGAUUUUUAAAUUUUAGACUUAAGAUUUUAUAAGACCCUGUGGAAACCCUGUUAUCUGGUGCUUGCAAGUGGCUCUUUUGAGCAGAAAGCAGAUUGCAAGCCAUUUCACAGAACCAAAACACUCAUUUAUCAGUAAUAGUUGGUAAUCAACUAAAAAGAAGUUGAUUUCAAUUCAACAUAUUUUUUACAUAAAUCAUUAAUACAAAGAUGUUAUUAAAAUACAAUGACAUUACAUGUUCCUUAUGCCAGUUUGUCAAAUUAAAUAUUUCUGAUCAAAAUUAAAUAUUUCUGAUCCACAAAUAUCUUAUGUAUUGUCUUGCAAAAAGACAUAGUAAACCCCUAAAAAAAUUGCAACGCCAACACAAACCCCUGGAUUACUUUUGAAUAAUAUUUCAGGUGAAAUCUGAUGAAAUCUGAGAACUCCCUCAUCCUCAACAGACAGCAACGGUCUAAAAGUUUAAAAACAAAAUCCUUAAAAAAAAAAAAAAAAGACCAUAUGCCUUUAGUGCUUCAAUCGUAAUAUCAAUCUAUAAGAUUUGGAUAUGCACACCCUUACAAAAAUAGCCUACAGGAAUCCUGCAGGAUUUUCAUUUUUUUCUGCAGGAACCUGCUGGUAUCCUGUAGGAAUUAUGAAAUCCUGCAGGACAAAUUGACAAUAUGUGCAGGCAAUUCCUACAGGUUUUAGAAUCAUGCAGUACUUUUUGCAGGAAUCCUGAAGGAUUCAUUUUUUUUCCCUGCAGAAAAGCUGCUGUCCUGCAGGAAUUCAAAAAUCCUGUAAGACACAUUGACAAUAUGUGCAGGAAUUUCCUACAGGUUUUUACAAUGGAUCCAAGCAAGUGACAAAUCCUGCAGGAUUUUAUAAUUCCUGCAGGGCUUGCAGGAAUUAUUUGUUGUAAUUGGAAUGAAAGAAAUUGUGUCACUUGUUUUUGGUAGCAAUACAAUAUGAGUUCUAACAGAUAAACAUUACAACAAACAAACAAAAUAUAAGAAAAUAAAUACAUAAAGUAUACAAAUAGAUUAUAGGCAAUUAUAAAAAUCAACCAUUACACUAAACCAUUCAAAUUAUGCAUUUAUGCAAACAAGCAAGCUGUACACUUUUACGUUUCAUUUCUAUACUUUUUUUUUCAUUUAUUAAAAAUCUGUUUGGUUAGAUGCAAAAAAUAAAUAAAUAAAAUAAAUAAAUAAAAAAAAUGCAAGACCUGUCCUUGAGGUAGAUAUAUGUUAAACGUAUGUCUGUGCAUUUUAUGAGUUCAACAGAGUCUCUUCCUCUUUCUUUUAAAAUGUUUGUUGCUGUUAUCCUUUAUUCUCUGUCUUUUUGACCUGAGCAACCUAUUUUAUUCUGUGUCCAUUGCCUUUUUGUGGCAGCUGGAACUGGUGCCUCUUCAUUUAAGUACAAUUUUUACUCCAUUUUUAUUCUUUUAAAAGAAGCAGGUUACGGUUAUUGUUCAGGUGAUUGGUAAACAUAAUGUGUUUUCUGCAAUGUUAGAGUAAAUUUAAUUAUUAAAUUAAUAUAAACAUUUGUUAAACAUUUUAAAUAAAAUAAGAUAUAAAUGCUAAAUUGAAAUUAGAUAAUACAUUGCUGCCAAUAAUGUAUAGGUCUAUUUUAUACACAUUAUAUAUUUACAAUAUUUUAAGUUAAUAAUGACUACUACUAAUAUAUGUGUGUGUAUUAUUUGACAAAAUGGACUUGAGUAGACACAUUAAAACAAACAUUCUUAUAAACAGACUUUUUUCUUUAACAAAAUAAAUGAUUUGUUUGUGGAAUACGUGUGUUUUGAUGAAUCUGUGCUUUACAGAUUCACACAGUCUUUCACACUUAAAAAAGACGCUCGUUUUCGCCACCUACUGGCGUUACAGUGUAGUUUACAUUAUAAACUCCGGUAAAAUGAAUCAUUCAGAGAAAAGAUUCGAUUCAUUGAGAUGACUCGCUUCACGUCGCCGAUUCGAAUGCACGUCAGUCAACUGUCACCAACCGUCUUCUGAAGGUAAAACACUUUUCUUAAGUUAUUUUAUCGUUAAAGUGCUCUAAUAAAUGCUCUGUUUUAAUGUUAAAUCAGUAAAUUGUUUUGUAACACCAAAACAAAUACUUACCUGAUUUUUAAAGUCGAGAUCACAUUAACAAUACUAGUACAUUGCUAACGUAAUAUACUAAGGUCUACUACCGCCCAUCAUAUCAGAACUUAAUUUAAAAAAUGACUAUAUGAAAUGAUAUUUUUAUCAUUGUUAACAUAACCAGUGUUUUAUUUAGUAUUUUCACUGCUUAUAAAUGGUGCUAAUAUAGUUUUUUGUUACCUCAGAAAUCAUUUAUCGCUGCGGCCGGACAGCAAACUACUCUUUGGCAGGUACAUUAAGAAAAUGGGCAAAAGAUGAGUCCUAACAUUAGUGGAAUGGAGGGAGGAACCAUCGACCUAUGACAUUAUUGUUUCU